rnacentral:rRNA from 1 species
GAACGGAGCGUCGUAGAGGGUGAGAAUCCCGUCCAUGACACGGACUGCUAAUACUUUGUGAUACGCUCUCGAAGAGUCGAGUUGUUUGGGAAUGCAGCUCAAAAUGGGUGGUAAAUUCCAUCUAAAGCUAAAUACAGGCGAGAGACCGAUAGCGAACAAGUACCGUGAGGGAAAGAUGAAAAGCACUUUGGAAAGAGAGUUAAACAGUACGUGAAAUUGUUGAAAGGGAAACGCUUGAAGUCAGUCGCGUUGUGCAGAACUCAGCCUUGCCUCGGUUUGGUGUACUUUCUGCACAACGGGUCAACAUCAAUUUUGGCCCAUGGAGAAAGGUGGAGGGAAUGUAGCGCUGUUUCGGCAGCGUGUUAUAGCCCUCUACUGUAUACAUGGGCUGGGAUUGAGGAACGCAGCACGCCCUUGUGGCCGGGGGUUCGCCCCACGUACCGUGCUUAGGAUGUUGGCAGAAUGGCUUUAAGCGACCCGUCUUGAAACACGGACCAAGGAGUCUAACAUGCUUGCGAGUGUUCGGGUGGAAAACCCUUGUGCGUAAUGAAAGUGAAAGUUGGGAACCUCCGCAAGGGGGUGCACCGACGCCCGGCCCUGACGUUCUCUGACGGUGCUGCGGUAGAGCAAGUAUGCUGGGACCCGAAAGAUGGUGAACUAUGCCU